GUCCCCAUCGUCUAGAGGCCUAGGACACCGCCCUUUCACGGCGGCGACCGGAGUUCGAAUCUCCGUGGGGACGCCA
rnacentral:tRNA from 1 species